rnacentral:rRNA from 1 species
CCGGCACGGGUGAGUAACACGUAUCCAACCUGCCGUCUACUCUUGGACAGCCUUCUGAAGGAAGAUUAAUACAAGAUGGCAUCAUGAGUUCACAUGUUCACAUGAUUAAAGGUAUUUUCCGGUAGACGAUGGGGAUGCGUUCCAUUAGAUAGUAGGCGGGGUAACGGCCCACCUAGUCAACGAUGGAUAGGGGUUCUGAGGGGAAGGUCCCCCACAUUGGAACUGAGACACGGUCCAA